GUGACGUGUACCUGAAGAAUAAGCAUCGGCUAACUCCGUGCCAGCAGCCGCGGUAAGACGGAGGAUGCAAGUGUUAUCCGGRAUCACUGGGCGUAAAGCGUCUGUAGGUGGUCUAAUAAGUCAACUGUUAAAUCUUGAGGCUCAACCUCAAAACCGCAGUCGAAACUAUUAGACUAGAGUAUAGUAGGGGUAAMGGGAAUUUCCAGUGGAGCGGUGAAAUGCGUAGAGAUUGGAAAGAACACCGAUGGCGAAGGCACUUUACUGGGCUAUUACUGACACUCAGAGACGAAAGCUAGGGUAGCAAAUGGGAUWAGAUACCCCAGUAGUCCUAGCUGUAAACAAUGGAUACUAGAUGUUGAACAGAUCGACCYGUGCAGUAUCMAAGCUAMCGCGU
rnacentral:rRNA from 1 species